AAGGCUUGAAUGAAGAAUGUAGAUCUGCCUCGGGCAAAACUGUGGUACCAAAAAUCCCACUGUGAACACUGAUAGCCAGGACAGAAUUACAAUUAACAACAACAAAAAAAUGUCAGGUGCCUCCAACAAAGUCCCAACAAACUGAGCAGAAUGCAAGCAGCCUGCAAAUCACCUGGAUACAUAAUGCUAACCCUCAGAACUACUCUUGCUUUGGUAAAAUGCCAUCUGACCCUGGAUAAAGGCCAUUCACGAUUUUGUAGUCCUCUAGCUUUUCAAGUAAUUUCUCCCUGAUGUCUGUUUCCUGGCUGAAGUGUACUAACUGGAGAAAUUCAUCUCAUCCUCAAAGACAUGCCUCAAAUAGAUCAGACAAAUCACUCCUCAAAAGUGCCAGUUCCUCUUUACUGAUUUCUGAGGGAGACCAAGAUGACUAAGCCAGUAACAGACACUUCUGCUGUAUAUGUCUAAAUUUACAUGAGCUCAAUCUCACUCUCUGUUUCCGUGAAAUACCUUCAUUUUCUAUCGGGUGUAAACAUAACAAAAUUAGUGAGGUGAAUCCAGUGUGUAGUAAAUGAGUAGAGUGGAAAUGGUCAAGGAAUAUAAAGUACCUAUAAAAUCUGUCUCACUCAUUGUAUGAAGAGAUAUGGAAAUGAUGAAUCUGGGCUGAGUCAGUAUGUCAGUUAUUACUAUGCCUUCAUUUUUUUUCUGUUUUUUACUGCAGAGUUAGUAAUAAGGCUUUCAGCUAUGCAUUCAAGAUAAAUGCCAGUGUUAGAAUAAACUUGAUAUGCAGUGCUCACAACUGCGAGAUAUUAAUUUAUAAACUAAAGAUAAACACUACCAUACUACAUUAAUGAACCCUAUUAUUUUCCUUGUGAGAAGGUAAUGUUAGACAAACUGAAUUUUCCUCUAUUUGUUUCUUUAAAAGAAUUGCUUUCCUAGUAGCUUAAAGCUUUCCUAAACUUUUCUGGUUGUUAGUGUUACUGCACAUGAUACACACAACUACCUGAAACUCCAGAUGUCAGCUAGUGAAAUAUGUUUUCUCAGUGCCUGUGUCUGGCCACUUGGCAGAGCCCUACGUUAUCAGCAGUCAGUCAUACUAGCAGGUCCCAAAUUGCCUCUGGGUCAGCCAUGUGCUUGUGGCUUUUAUUAAAUUUGUGAGGGGAUUUGACUUCUCCUGGUGCUUUGUUCCAUUUAGAUUCAUAGAUGUUAAGACCAGAAGGGACCGUAGUGAUCAUCUAGUCUGCCCCCUGCAUAACACAAGACCCAGAAUGCUCCUGAUUUAAUUCAUGCUUGAAGUAGAGCAUAUCUUUUACAGAAAAACAAAACAAAUUCAAACAAAACUGUUCAGUUUAAUAUUUCCAGAAACAUAUUCUAAAACCGUAGAGUUAUAUAAAGCAUUAUUUAUUCCCAGUGUUAAAGUUGCAUACCUUAUUUCCAGCAUGAGCUUCAACAUCUGGUCUUUGACUUCCUCUGUGCUCUCCUAGAUAGAGCGAGACAUCUAUAUUUUCUGCUACCUUUCAUCAGGUCAUGCCUCAACUUCUGCUUUGUUAAACAAAGUAGAUAUCUCUGUCAGCAUUUAACUGUAAGAAUGUUUUGUGUUGUCCUGACAUGAUUAUUUACAGAUACUGUUUAUACGUGUCACCAAAAUCCUCAGUGAAAAUCAAAGGGAAUUAUGCUAAAAUUGUUGCUAAGAGAAAGGUUCUCUAGUUUUUUUAACCUACUUAUUAUGUGCAAAGUACAAAAUGUUUCGUUACAAUACCAACACCCAACAAAUUAAACCAGAGCUACGAGGAAGUCAUUGCGGAGGCCAAGCCGGGUUAUUCACAGCAGUGCAUAGUACUAGGACAAGGAAAAAGAAGUAUAACUUCAAAACAGAGAGGUUGAGGCUCGAUGUAAGGAGAAGCUUUUUCCCAGAGAGGGCAGGUAGGCAGUGUCCCAGACUAUUCGUGGGGAUUUUCAAGCCAAGCAACCUGGCCUGACCCAAUGUUCACAGCCUGCUGUGAGCAAGACCUUGGACCAGAGACAUCCUGAGGUCCCUUCCAGCCCAAGUGAUUUUUAUCAUUCCACAAUUUCAUAAGACGCUUCAAGACGCACUGACACACAAGCAUUUCAGCUGCUUAUACAUUUUUAUAACAUCAAUAAGGAUUAUACAUAUUAGUUCUGCAAAUUUAAGAAAUAUAUGAAAAAAAAACCAAAAACCAACAAAACAACCCCAGCACAAAUUUCACUAUUGAAAACAAAAUCUGCUGAAAAUGUACAAAGCUUGUACUCCUUUGACUAUCAAAACUAUUGCCCAUUUAUAAAUAACUGGAUUUCUGUAGCUCAUGACAAACAAUUCUGCAAUAUGAAAACACCCACUAAUGUGUGUCUUCUAACUUUCUAUCACUUGUCUUGGUCAGGAUCAGGCAGGAAUGGACUCAUACAUUAAAGACAGUAUCAAUAUAAAAUAUCUGCCCUUCUUGUAAUUUUUUUAGUUGCCCAAGGAUAUAGGGGUCCAAGAGAAUCAGAUCAGAGGCUGAGAGCUGUCUCAUUAUCUAGUAAUUCCUUUAAAAGCAUUUGGAGAUCAAAAUGCUUUUCAGAACAGCCAAUGGUGUUUUCGUGUUUAAUAAUAUUGAGUGCACUUUACAUGCUUAUAUCCAGGUAAAUAAUCCAAAUCUUUUUGCAACCCUCUUUUUCUUUUUUUUUCUUUUUUUUAAACUUCUCUCCUAAAUUUGACUAGUAACUAUUGGUCUAUUUUUUUCUUUAAGGUCUAUUUGAAAACAAUUAUUGCUUGGACCAAGUAUUGCUGGAAGAUGAUUCAAGAUUAUCCUCUCAUUACGGCCAAAAGUAGAGGCACAAAAUCAGUUUAUUUCAUGUAUUUAAUCUGUAUCAUGUCAAUAUUAUAAUGUUUUAUUAAUUAACAUGUAAUGGAAAUGCAGGUCACAUUCCUUGUAGAGGUUUAUAAAUGUAUUCUUGUAUUCUAUAUGCACUGUUACCUUUAUUAAUCAAACUUGUAAUCUCAUUAAAAAGGUAUUUUGUUAGUUUAAUAACAUCUAUAUUAAGCAAACUGUUGACUGGUCUCCUUAAUUCCUAUUGUGUCACUUGUUCUAUUAUUUCAACCAGACUUGUUGUCAGGAGGAUGCCUAAGGAUCACUCCAUUUACGCGCUGGCACAGCAUUAGCUCUUAUCUCCUCCGUCAGCUUCCUCCUUUCUGUAACAGUCAUAAAAAAUUAUCAUAAACUGCCAGUGGUCAUCUAUAGUAAGCUUUGAAGAAAUUUGGGUUUCCUUGUAAAUGUCUAAAUUCACAAAUUGCUAUUGCGUAUCCUUAUUAGUUAUUGAUCAGAUAUACAAUGUUUCAUUGUCACGCAAUAAUACUGUUUUUGUUGAUAUAUUUAAAGAUGUGUAAAAUUAUCGCCGUGUAUCUUCAUACUACAGUUAUUAUUGGAUACUGUUUCUUCCUUUGUAUUCCUGUAUAUAAUUCGGAUUCCAAACCAAAUUAUAUUCAAGUAAAUGUCAGUUGAUUUAAUUGAUUUCUUGGGCUGUUACCUGACAAUGUUCCCAGAAAAAUGUUGUGCUACGUAGGAAAUAAAUAAAGGAUUUUG
ensembl:lncRNA